UGCUAAGGGUGCCCGAUGAGUCGGGCUGAGAGGAAACUACUACAAUGUUUCGACCUUGGAGAACAGUUAAAGGCUGUUUCUCCGCACCUGAUCCGGAUAAUGCCGGCGUAGGGAUGUAUACUUAUAUU
rnacentral:ncRNA from 1 species